rnacentral:rRNA from 1 species
UACGUAGGGUGCGAGCGUUAAUCGGAAUUACUGGGCGUAAAGCGUGCGCAGGCGGUUUUGUAAGCCAGAUGUGAAAUCCCCGGGCUUAACCUGGGAAUGGCAUUUGGGACUGCAAGGCUGGAGUGUGGCAGAGGAGACUGGAAUUCCCGGUGUAGCAGUGAAAUGUGUAGAGAUCGGGAGGAACACCGGUGGCGAAGGCGGGUCUCUGGGCAUCUCCUGACGCUGAGGCGCGAAAGCGUGGGGAGCAAACAGG